UCUGGGACCGUAUGUCAUCUACAGGGAGAGGAGACUAGAGAGAGGCUAGAGUUCUUUUGGGUGAAGAGCAAUCCCAUGCCUUUUGCUUGUAAAGAAGGUGUUUGGUAUUUGUGAGACUGGUAGUUCUCUGGAAAAGAGAGGCUCCACUCUGCUCUGAGAAAAAUGGACAGUAACCAGUGUGCGCACUCAUAACCCGGUGAAGGAGCUCUCCUGUGAAGUCCAUCUGGAGUGUUCAGAGGGCCCUUGAAGUUUGAUGCCCCUCCAUAUCUAGUCUAAAUGGUUGUGCCAAGAUUGUGUCACUGACAGGAUGUAUCAUUGAUGUAUCGCUGCUCCCUCCCACCCUCGUUAACAGUUUCCUCUGAGGUUAAAACAUUAACAACUCAAAAUAGCUUCAGGAAGUCCCUGAAACCAGCCAGAUUGCCUCCUAACAAGAGUAAGCAGUAAAAGCUGAGAGUCCCUCUGAGCUACAGGAAGAGAGCAGCAAAGACUCUGAGAUCAGACCAGCUGCCGUGGGAGAAGCAGUAAUGAGCUCUCCAGAAGAGGUUUGGACCAACUGAGUCACGUGGAAGGGGCACUCUCCUACCUGCUGAGCUGUCUGCAGGCUGUGCAGCGUGCUCCAGGGUCCCAGCUCUGUGAACUGUCACCCAUACUGAGGUGGAUUUUAGUCAUGUGGCUUUCUUUGAGUCAUUUCUGUUCCUGUAAGUAAUCCUUCACCCAUAUUCCUGUACG